rfam:Loktanella vestfoldensis SKA53 scf_1099451320118 genomic scaffold, whole genome shotgun sequence.
GUUCUGUCACAACGGCUUCCUGGCGUGACAGGUUUUUCAUAUCGGAGCA